UGGGGAAUCUUGCGCAAUGGGCGAAAGCCUGACGCAGCCAUGCCGCGUGUAUGAUGAAGGUCUUAGGAUUGUAAAAUACUUUCACCGGUGAAGAUAAUGACUGUAGCCGGAGAAGAAGCCCCGGCUAACUUCGUGCCAGCAGCCGCGGUAAUACGAAGGGGGCUAGCGUUGCUCGGAAUUACUGGGCGUAAAGGGAGCGUAGGCGGACAUUUAAGUCAGGGGUGAAAUCCCAGAGCUCAACUCUGGAACUGCCUUUGAUACUGGGUGUCUUGAGUGUGAGAGAGGUAUGUGGAACUCCGAGUGUAGAGGUGAAAUUCGUAGAUAUUCGGAAGAACACCAGUGGCGAAGGCGACAUACUGGCUCAUUACUGACGCUGAGGCUCGAAAGCGUGGGGAGCAAACAGG
rnacentral:rRNA from 1 species